rnacentral:rRNA from 1 species
GACGAACGCUGGCGGCGUGCUUAACACAUGCAAGUCGAACGGUAAGGCCUUUCGGGGUACACGAGUGGCGAACGGGUGAGUAACACGUGGGUGAUCUGCCCUGCACUUCGGGAUAAGCUUGGGAAACUGGGUCUAAUACCGGAUAGGACCACGGUCUGCAUGGAUUGUGGUGGAAAGCUUUUGCGGUGUGGGAUGGGCCCGCGGCCUAUCAGCUUGUUGGUGGGGUGAUGGCCUACCAAGGCGACGACGGGUAGCCGGCCUGAGAGGGUGUCCGGCCACACUGGGACUGAGAUACGGCCCAGACUCCUACGGGAGGCAGCAGUGGGGAAUAUUGCACAAUGGGCGCAAGCCUGAUGCAGCGACGCCGCGUGGGGGAUGACGGCCUCGGGUUGGUAAACCGUCUUUCUAGCAGGGACGAAGGGUGACGUGACGGUACCUGUAGAAGAAGCACCGGCCAACUACGUGCCAGCAGCCGCGGUAA